UGGGGAAUGAUUGCACAAUGGGCGAAAGCCUGAUGCAGCAACGCCGCGUGAGUGAUGAAGGCCUUCGGGUUGUAAAGCUCUGUCUUUUGGGACGAUAAUGACGGUACCAAAGGAGGAAGCCACGGCUAACUACGUGCCAGCAGCCGCGGUAAUACGUAGGUGGCAAGCGUUGUCCGGAUUUACUGGGCGUAAAGGAUGCGUAGGCGGAUUUUUAAGUGAGAUGUGAAAACCCUAAGCUUAACUUGGGGACUGCAUUUCAUACUGGAAAUCUAGAGUGCGGGAGAGGAGAAUGGAAUUCCUAGUGUAGCGGUGAAAUGCGUAGAGAUUAGGAAGAACACCAGUGGCGAAGGCGAUUCUCUGGACCGUAACUGACGCUGAGGCAUGAAAGCGUGGGUAGCAAACAGGAUUAGAUACCCUGGUAGUCCACGCCGUAAACGAUGAGUACUAGGUGUAGGAGGUAUCGACCCCUUCUGUGCCGCAGUUAACACAAUAAGUACUCCGCCUGGGAAGUACGAUCGCAAGAUUAAAACUCAAA
rnacentral:rRNA from 1 species